GAAGGUCAAUAAUUGAAACAUACCUUUUAGUCAUAUUUCAGUUCCCUCCAAUUAUUUCAUUCUAAAUGUUCCCUCUAUUGGGUGAAAAAUAAAAUAUAUCUGCUCACAUUGCCCUAAUCAUCUAUUCCCUCUCUGUAAACCACAAAUAUGCAAAAAGAGCAUCUUCCUAUUUGGUCUCGUCUUCUCCAUUCUACGACACAAAUUCUCGAAGAGAAUCAGGAUGGCUCGGGAAUUGGUGGAUUGCUUGGUGCAAAUUGAUGGAUUAAAUACAAGCGUGAUAAAUUGAUCAAUUCAUUAUGUGCAUUUCUGUUUAUAACUUUUAUUCUCUCUCUCUCUCUCUCUAUAUCUCUUUUAUUCUACAAAUUUGUGAUAAAAUGUUUUCAUGUACAAGAUCCUCAGGUAUUCCUUUUAUUAAUAAACUAGAAUGAACCAAGUCUCAGAAGGUGGAUGGUGUUAAUCUAACGGUUAUUAUUGCGUGAGCACCAGUUUUUGUGCCAUUUGAUUUUGCAACUUGAACUAUCUUGUAAUAUCUCAAAGCUUAGUGAAAGUAUUGCAAUUGAUGAGCUUAAUAAAUAUCAUCUGCUUUGUCAAAAGAAAAUUUAAAUAUUUAAUUAAUGUUGUAAAUUAGAUUUAUAUUGCAAAACAACAUUUCAUUAUAUCUGAAAUGGCAACUCUUGAAUGAGGCUUCCUUUUUCCUCAGUUCUCACUUCAGAUAGUAUGUAUUCCACCCCCUUUCCUCCCUAAUUUAAAGGUUUGAAAUCCUGUUAAUCCAUUUGUCUUGCUUCUAUUUUGAGCUUGAAAGAUGGGAUAUAUAGGCCCACAAGUUUUUCGCUACUGGAAGUUCACAUUGGUGCUUAAUAUUAAUAUCUUUUCCAAUAGGUCACUGCCUGUUCCAGAUGCAACUCAAGGAAGGGUCAUAAGACAACCGAGGAAGCAAAUAUGAAUCUUAUGAAAGAACCUAAGCUUCCUCCACUUUUGAUGCUUUCUACUACAAAUGCAACAUUUGGAGGAUUAUAUUAUGGUAUUCAGAGCUUUCACGUGUGAAGGCUCCAAUAAUCAAGAGUUGGAGAAACUUUAAUGUGUCAUUUAUCUUAUAAUAUUGUAGCUACAUAGAGAAGCGUUGUAGCUAUUUGAUGACAUCAGUUAUUAAAUACCAAUUGACUGGUUAUUAGAUUCAAAUAGUUUACUUGUUUUGUCUUUAUGCUAUUGACACUUCUAAAAUUACGCUUGUUGUUGAUUUAAUGAAGUGUAUUGAGCCUUUUAAAAUUAA